rnacentral:lncRNA from 1 species
CUGUCACGCAACAACAAAAAAAGCUACAGAUGGAUUUGACUACUAGCCUUUUUUUGGUCAGAUUUUCAAUAGAUGUUGCAAUAAUAUCGUUGUCAUGCCUUAGCUAUAGUAUACAUACAUUUAUCCAUUUUUAUUCAGCAACCCCCUACAUUAUUUAAUGCCAAAAGAUGCAAUUGCAUUAAUGCAAUUAGUAAUACAAGUAUAGGCCUAAAUAUCAGAUGUUUUUAUUAGCAUAUCUAAGGAAAUGGUUGGAAGAAAUACAGAUAACUUCACUACCAACAAUCAAUGUCAAGUAGUUAGCUCGUAAACCUAGUUGGAGUGUAAAAACAGUGAAACUUUGCAUUAAUUUAGGUCACAACAUUAAAUAACGUUAAAUAAGUGGGUGUACUGCUAACUGCUUCUUUACCUUGCUAGCUAGAAACAGCCCUAACUAACCUUAAACUCAACUCACAGCAAACAACAGCAAGGCGCUCUUUAGCAAAUUACAGUAACGCUACUUACUUUUCGUUGGACAGGUAGCAGCGUGGGAAGGUUGGCAAAGUCAAGUUGUUAUGAAUUUUGUGCUACUGAUGAUUUGAAGAUAAGCGGUUUCCCGGGGAAGUGUAUCCUAGCAACCGCAAGUGAUGCAGCCCCGUAGAGUUCCAACAGGUGUGUGUUUCCCCUACAUAGUAUGCCAUUUUCUCCCCCCUUAGCUUUGCACUCUGAGGUUGGUUAAGAAUCAAAGCUAAUUUUGGGUUGGGUUAAAUCGAUGAGGUAAUGUAAGUGUAAUGCCAAUUUACGUUUUGGCUUAGUUAUUUAUCGCAUGCGUGGUGUCCUGGACGAAAGGAACGAUCUUCAUUUAGGCCCCUCUUGCUAGAUUUCAGACACUGUCACUUUCAAAUGAGGGAUGCAUCGUAACCGCGACAGAGAGCUGCCGCAGAUGACUUCAUUAAAACUCCUAAGAAGUCCAGCUCCGAGCAGACAGACAGCGAUCGGGGUGAGAGCUGCGCCUGUAAUGAAGUGUCCCAUUGAGUUUGCUGAAGUGGACUUAUCUCCCACAACGUCCCUCCUCACGUCUCACUCUUUCCCCGAUUCCAGACAGAGCUGUGUUCAGAGAGACCUCUCUUUUCUGGGAUCAAUCCCACACCUCAACUGCACAUCCUCCUCAAUAGCUGACAGAGUGCUGCAUGAUGCUCAAGCCUCAUCCUUUGGCAGUGCACACAUGGGACACAAGGAACAGAUGCAAGGAUGGACGUGA